UACGGAGGAUCCAAGCGUUAUCCGGAAUCAUUGGGUUUAAAGGGUCCGUAGGCGGUUUUGUAAGUCAGGGGUGAAAGCCCAUCGCUCAACGGUGGAACAGCCAUUGAUACUGCAAGACUUGAAUUAUUAGGAAGUAACUAGAAUAUGUAGUGUAGCGGUGAAAUGCUUAGAGAUUACAUGGAAUACCAAUUGCGAAGGCAGGUUACUACUAAUUGAUUGACGCUGAUGGACGAAAGCGUGGGGAGCGAACAGG
rnacentral:rRNA from 1 species